rnacentral:rRNA from 1 species
GACGAACGCUGGCGGCGUGCUUAACACAUGCAAGUCGAACGGAAAGGCCCUGCUUUUGUGGGGUGCUCGAGUGGCGAACGGGUGAGUAACACGUGAGUAACCUGCCCUUGACUUUGGGAUAACUUCAGGAAACUGGGGCUAAUACCGGAUAGGAGCUCCUGCUGCAUGGUGGGGGUUGGAAAGUUUCGGCGGUUGGGGAUGGACUCGCGGCUUAUCAGCUUGUUGGUGGGGUAGUGGCUUACCAAGGCUUUGACGGGUAGCCGGCCUGAGAGGGUGACCGGCCACAUUGGGACUGAGAUACGGCCCAGACUCCUACGGGAGGCAGCAGUGGGGAAUAUUGCACAAUGGGCGGAAGCCUGAUGCAGCAACGCCGCGUGCGGGAUGACGGCCUUCGGGUUGUAAACCGCUUUCGCCUGUGACGAAGCGUGAGUGACGGUAAUGGGUAAAGAAGCACCGGCUAACUACGUGCCAGCAGCCGCGGUGAUACGUAGGGUGCGAGCGUUGUCCGGAUUUAUUGGGCGUAAAGGGCUCGUAGGUGGUUGAUCGCGUCGGAGGUGUAAUCUUGGGGCUUAACCCUGAGCGUGCUUUCGAUACGGGUUGACUUGAGGAAGGUAGGGGAGAAUGGAAUUCCUGGUGGAGCGGUGGAAUGCGCAGAUAUCAGGAGGAACACCAGUGGCGAAGGCGGUUCUCUGGGCCUUUCCUGACGCUGAGGAGCCGAAAGCGUGGGGAGCGAACAAGGCUUAGAUACCCUGGUAGUCCCCGCUGUAAACGGUUGGGUACUAAGGUGUGGGGUCCAUUCCCCGGGUUCCGAACAGUAGCUAACGCUUUAAGUACCCCGCCUGGGGAGUACGGCCGCAAGGCUAAAACUCAAAGGAAUUGUUGGGGCCCCGCACAAGCGCCGGAGCAUUCGCAUUAAUUAGAUGCAUCGAGUAGAACGUCAGUCGUGUUUGACAUGGAUCGGGAGUGCUCAGAGACGGGUGCGCCUCUCAAGGUGUCGCUUCACAGCUGGCGCAUGGCGUUCGUCAGCUCUUUUCGUGAGAUGGUGGCUUAAGUCCCUCACCGAGCGCAACCCUUGUUCACCGUUGCCAGCACGUUACGGCGGGGACUCAGUGGAGACCGCCGGGGUCCACUCGGAGGAAGGUGGGGAUGCCGUCAAGUCAUCAUGCCCAGGAUGUCCAGGGCUUCAUGCACGCCACAAUCGCUGGUACAUAGAGUGGUGAGCCUCUGAGGGUGAGCGAAUCUCUCAAAGCCGGUCCCAGUUAGCACUGCGGUAAGCCAGUGGACCUCAGAAGUCGGAGUCGCUAGUAAUAGCCGAUCAAGCAACUGGUCCGGAGAACAGGAUCCCGGUGGU